rnacentral:rRNA from 1 species
UACGAAGGGGGCUAGCGUUGCUCGGAAUUACUGGGCGUAAAGCGCACGUAGGCGGAUUGUUAAGUCGGGGGUGAAAUCCUGGAGCUCAACUCCAGAACUGCCUUCGAUACUGGCGAUCUCGAGUUCGGGGGAGGUGAGUGGAACUGCGAGUGUAGAGGUGAAAUUCGUAGAUAUUCGCAAGAACACCAGUGGCGAAGGCGGCUCACUGGCCCGAUACUGACGCUGAGGUGCGAAAGCGUGGGGAGCAAACAGG